ACAACAAGAAUAAAAUGCAGCAAACCUAAUAAAAACAAGACGUACCGGCUCUGACAUAACAAGAACAAAGGCACAGAGGCGCAGCUAACAGAUUUUUUUGGAGUGGAUCAGCUUUACAGAGGCGCUUAGGGGCCUCGCAACCGGACAGAGAAUAAUAAAACUGCCUUCAGGUAGCUCCCGUACUGGUUGGAUCGCAAGAUCAAAGCGAGUCAGCGCUCAAAAAAAUACGUUUGCUCUUGACCCCGGAUGGGGGUCGAACAAGAUCGCAGUAAAGGGACAGGUCGCCAAAAACAACAACAGGCCACCCUAAAAUAAUAAAAAAAGAGCACGUAAUACGAUUCAAAAGGGGAGCUUCGGCUCCCCUUUUUGCUGUCUGUGAAACCCCGCACCUCCC
rnacentral:sRNA from 1 species